UGCCAGCCGCCGCGGUAAUACGGAGGGUGCGAGCGUUAUCCGGAAUCACUGGGUUUAAAGGGUGCGUAGGCGGCCCGUUAAGUCAGGGGUGAAAUCCCGCAGCUCAACUGCGGAACUGCCCUUGAUACUGGCGGGCUCGGAUUGGCGCGAGGCGGGCGGAACGUGGCAUGUAGCGGUGAAAUGCUUAGAUAUGCCACAGAACACCGAUUGCGUAGGCAGCUUGCCAGAGCCAUAUCGACGCUGAGGCACGAAAGCGUGGGGAGCGAACAGGAUUAGAUA
rnacentral:rRNA from 1 species